UUUUAUUAUAAUUAUAAUAUAAUAUUAGACCACCCGUCCGCUCAAGUGGACGCAUAUUGUGGACGUAAUAAACGAAUAAUAUGCCUUUGAAUGAUCAAGAGUACCUAAUCAAAUAUGAAAACUGGCACAACGGGACGAUGACGAUGACGACGAUACAUGCAUCACACUUUACCGGUCCUGAUCCAGGCGCAGUCAGUUUCGAAUAUAAUAUUUAAAUGAAGCCCACGGUGUUUCAAGACAUGCAGUAGUCUUAAAAUAGCGAAGCGAGUAUUUUAGUAAACAAAUCCAGUUCCGAAAUUAUAAUAUCUCUACUUUAUAUAACCUCUCACUCUCACUUAAUGGCGACGUUUGACACGAUAAUAAAUGAGCAAAUACAUGGAAUGUACCUCCGAAUCCUAUGAAAUAUCAAUAUAGCGUUAUAUUAAUAAUGACGGUUAUUCCAUUCUCAUUUCUUUCUCUUUAAGUGUCAAUGGACAUUUAUUAAAAGAUUAUUUACUCGAUACAGUCGUCCUAAAAAAAAAUCAUCAACAAAAAAUCCAAACAAAAUAUAUACGU